rnacentral:tRNA from 1 species
GCCUUCGUAGCUCAGUUGGUAGAGCACCUCCAUGGUAAGGAGGGGGUCAACGGUUCGAGUCCGUUCGAAGGCU